rnacentral:lncRNA from 1 species
UAUUCUUCAAAUACAAACUUCUUUAACCAUAAUAACUCAUUCAUUCUAAAGGAGUAUUAUAUGCCUCUAAAUUUCCUAUUCCACCAAAAUGCUUAACUUCAUACAGGAACAAAAAUUAUUAAUUAAAUAACAAUUAAACUCUUCAAGGCACUGUGAACGAAAUGCUUAUCUCCACUAUAAUCAUCUGGUUAAUAACAGUAAUACCAUUUAACAAGGAAUAAAAAAAAUGAACUAAACAAUGGCAACCAAAGAAAACGUUUACAGUAAGGUUUUUUUUUUUAAAACAUUUGAAAUAAAUCACAAUCUCAUAAUCCAGCUUUGGCACCAAAAAAAAGAACAAAUGACGGUAGCCGCAACACCGUGUAAAAAUUCCUGGAGUUAUUUAUGAUACAUGAGCCCGUUGAAACCAAAAUGAAACCAAUCAAACAACAAAUACAAUAAAUCUAAAACGUUACCAUAUUUACAAUGCUCUUGCUGGUAGAUUUUUGGGUUCCGAAACCGUAUCAACCGUCUUCUCAAUACCCAAUAACGACCAUGACAGUUCUCGUGGCGUAGUCGUAAUGGUUCAGUCGGAAGAUCCGUGACAGGUUGAAGCGAUAUGAAGAUGAAAAGGGUUUAGUUGUGCGGUGGUCGACGGCGUGGGUUACUUCGGUGGCGGAGUUCGAUCCACGGUGGAAGGAAAAAGAAGAGUGAGGUUGUUUAGAUCGCAGUCAGCUUGGUAGAUGGCGUUGAAGGGAAUUCGCGGCGGCCAUGGCGGUUAGCCGGAAGUUGUUGAAGGAUGUUAAGGGCGGAGAAUUCGAGACGUACGGUGGAGUGUGUAUGUUAUGGUGGUGUUUGUUGGAAGGUUUGAGUUUAUGAAGAAGAAGAGGAUUUGAAGGAAUUGAGUGGGUAAGGGUGUGACGGCAGUGCGUUUUUUCAAGGGGAAGAAGAAGGUGGAUUUCAGUGUUUUGUGUGUGUGACGUUUGGGAGCAGAAGAAGUAUUCCUCCCUUUUUGUUUUUUUCUGUCCCAUGAGUCCCCUUUUUCUUGAGACAGAGUGGUGAUCCCCACGUGAAGAAGAAAUCUCUUUGUUUCCCCUUUUUCCCCGUUAGCCAGCUGUUCCUCCAUUAAUAAAAUCCCAUUUUUGUUCUUAUCCCAUCUCUCCCAAUAACAUGAUGCCACGUUUCAUGUUGAGAGUAUGGAUAAAAAAUCUUCUCAAAUGCAAGCUGUCAAACGUGUAUCUUUCACAAGUAUACAACUUUAUUUUUAAUUUUUAAUUUUUAAUGUUAAUAUUAAUAUUAUUUGAUUUUUCAUGAUUAAUAUUAUUAUUAAUUGAUUUUUGAUUGGAUAAUGGAAUAUGAUAACGAUUGCAAAUGAGAUCCGUGGAUUAAUUUGUAUCAACGAUCCUGAUUAAUCCAAAGAAGCACAAGCAAUUUUAAAAUGUCCGAUAUGUCCCUUUUAUAUGAUUUUAAUUGAUUUAAAAUAAUUUAAAUCAUCAAAUCAAAUUAAAUUCGCAUCUUUCUAAAUACAUACGAUAAAAAUAAAAUGAGAAUACGAAAAAUUCUAUUUAUUUCUUUUGAACAUUUUGGCGAAAGAAUAAAAAUAAAAUGACUAAAAAUUAAUAAAAGUCGGACGAAAAUUUGUUUAAAAAAUUAAAUCGGACGCACUAAAAUGAUCAGCGCGAAAUAUACUUAUUGAAAAAAUACAUCAUUUCUUUUAAUUUUGAAAUAAAUUUUGACCGAUUGAAAGGCUUAGACGGAUCAAAAUGCGAUUGAAAAAGUCGUCGAAAAAUAUAACGAGCACACCAUGUUAAACUACGCAGACCAUAGAUUAAUAAUACUGGCGUAUGCAAGUUUAAUUUUGAAACUUUUUACACGCUGAUUUUGCACGUACUUGAGAAAUGAUUUAACCAAUUUGUCUAUAUUUUCAAUAAUUUAUUUCGACCGAUAUUUUAAGUAUUAUUCAUGAUGAAAUGCAUGUUAUGCUGUACAACUGAUGCAAAUUAAAAAUGAAAUCAAGUUUAUGAAAAAUUUAAAAUGUCUGGACAAAAUUGGGGUAUGACAGCUGCCCCUAUUUAGUUACCUUGAUCCGGAAAGUAAGAAUUACAGCAGUGUCCGUAAAUUCGUGGUGGAAGGUAAUUAAAUACGAAAAGACCCAAAUUUUGUCCUUUGAAAUGUGAUGGAGAAAUGUAGAAAGAAAAUGUAACGAAUCCUAACGACAUCCAGGGUAUUAGGGGUAGAAUAUCCGAUCAAUGCCAACCCUCGAGUCGACAUUUAAAUCUUGCAAAGGUCGUUAUUGAUAUGAGGACAAACCUGAGCAGGUUUUCUGGCACCAAAAGGAUGACAAUAGAAUUAAUUGCCAUCACCAAAAGGGUGAUAGUAAUUCACCAUGAUUUCCGGGAUCGUCAUCACCAAAAGGAUGAUGGAAUACCAAGCUUCAAAGGUAGUCAUCACCAAAAGGAUGAUGGUUAUCCUGAUAAAGCUUUCCAUUACCGAGGGGGUAAUAUUAAGACUAUCAUCAAAAGGACGAUAGUUAACUCAUCAACUUCAAAGAUCACCGUCACCAAAAGGAUGAAAGUAAGUUCAACGACAAAACUUAUUAUCACCAAAAGGAUGAUGCUAAGUCACGGCAACUUCAUUGGAUCACCAUCACCAAAAGGAUGAAGGUAACAUUAACAACAAAACUUGUUAUCACCAAAAGGAUGAUAAAAAGUCAACAAUCACCAUCACCAAAAGGAUGAAGGUACUACCAAACAACAGAACUUGUUACCACCAAAAGGAUGAUAAUAAGUCAACAAUAUUAAUGAUCACCAGUAUCCAAAGGAUGAAGGUAAGAUCAACAACGAAACUUGUUAUCACCAAAAGGAUGAUAAUAAGUCACAAACUUCAAAUGAUCACCAUCACCAAAAGGGUGAAGGUAAGAUCAAAUAACAGAACUUGUUACCACCAAAAGGAUGAUAACAAGUCAUCAACCACCAUCACCAAAAGGAUGAAGGUAAAAACAAACAACAAAGCUUGUUACCCUCAAAAGGAUGAUAAUAAGUCAACAACUCAAAUAAUCACCAUCACCAAAAGGAUGAAGGUAAGAUUAAUAACAAGACUUGUUACCACCAAAAGGAUGAUAAUGAGUCACAAUCACCAUCACCAAAAGGAUGAAGGUAUUAUUGAACAACAAAACUCGUUAUCACCAAAAUGAUGAUAAUAAGUUACAACAACUUAAAUGAUCACCAUCACCGAAAGGAUGAAGGUAAGAUCAGAACAAAACUUGUUACCACCAAAAGGAUGAUAGUAAGUCGAGACAAACUUUAAUGAUCGCCAUCACCAAAAGGAUGAAGGUAAGAUCAAAUGACAAAACUUAUUACCACCAAAAGGAUGAUAAUAAGUCAAAAACUUCACAUGAUCACCAUCACCAAAAGGAUGAAGGUAUGAUCAACAACAAAACUUGUUACCUCCAAAAGGAUGAUAAUAAGUCACAAACUUCAAAUGAUCACCAUCACCAAAAGGAUGAAGGUAUGAUCAACAACAAAACUUAUUACCACCAAAAGGAUGACAAUAAUCUUUAAUAAUGAGAGGUCUCCAUUCACCAAAAGGAUGAAGGUUGGACCCAAAACUUCAAGGAUCUUCGACACCAAAAGGAUGACGGUAAGAUCACAAAUGUCAAGGGUUUACCAUUACCAAAAGGAUAACGGUUAUCAUAAACAAGGAGAUGAUUAAUAUUAUUCCUCAAUGAACUUUCACCAAAAGAAUGAUAGUGAGAAAAAUAUUUGGAAUAAUAAAGCUACUGACAAAGUUCAAUAAACCCGACUUGUUGGGUAGUAUUAGAACGUUACUGGGUAAGACUUGCUUGGGGUAUCGACAAUAAAAGGUUGCAGAAAAAUAUUCUCUGGAAAACAUAAUUUCCAUCAACAAAAGGUUAAAAGAAACAUCUCAUCGAGGAACGCUCAAUGAGAAACAAGGUAGGGGUUUGAAGAAAAAUUGUUCGACUUAGAUGAGGGUAACACCUUAUUAACAAAAGGUUAGAGGAUGUAAAUCAACGGGGAACACCCAACAAUACAAGGUAAGAACUCACUCAGAGAAAAUAAUAAAUGACUCAACUGAGGGUUGGCCUGGACACCUACGACUAAACCUUGGAUCUUGAUUCGUGCUAUAUGCAUGAAUGUUAUGUAUGCGUUAUGUAUGAGAUGAUGUAUGCAGUGCAUGUUUGAAUGUAAAGGAUGAUUGGUUUGUUUAGAAUUGGUCCCCCCUUUUCAAAGGAGAUGUAUUUUCUGGAAACAAAUACUGGUUGUAUUUGUUUUUGUGUGGGUUCCAACAAGGUGGACUUUGGGUUUUUUGGUAAUUGCCAAUAUGAGUUUGAUUGUUGGUGGGUGAAAGGAUCUGACUUCCCGACACUUGGUAGUUUAUGAUCUGAUGAACACGCAAUGGAUGUGGAUACGCUCGAUGCCCUAAGUUUGAUUUCUUGCUGUUAUGUUGUGUCUUUGCCCCUGAGGGGAACUCGACUUCUUCUUCUGAGAUGUUGGGUCAGCUUGUAACCGAGCAUAGUGACAUGAUCAACGCAUGAUGAUUAUGCUUUUGACGUGCCGCAAGGUUUCUUGUCAAGAUGUGAUAUUGUACCGGUAUGAAGUUUUGACAUUUUGGUUGUGAUCUUAGACAGUUUCUAGUGUCUGACACAAUCUGCCUGACCGACUUGAAGAUAUGAAGUGAAUUUUCCCCUUGCAACUUGUCUUGCCCAGUCUGUAGGGUGUUCAAAGGAAUUAUCCUUGAAAGGAAACCCUUAGGAGUGAUUAUCCCAUGACAUGGUCUGAGUCUGUUUCCUCCAACGUUUGUCUCUUGUGGUGGGAUAAACACAGAAAUGGAUAACAAAUGGUUUUGAACUCGGCAUUCAUGUCGUGUGAUUUUCUCUCUUCUUCUUUUUUUCUCGUGCAUAACUCAUAGCUUUGGGGGUUUAUCCACUUUUGGCUCUUUUCAACUCAAUUCUUUGUGAGCAUUUUAAAGGUGUUAGAGUCUUAAGUCUCGGCAAGUGCAUUUUCUUUUUUUUUUUUUCUUUUUGGACAUACACAUGUCUCUACUUUUUGUAUUGCUUUUAGAUCUCUUAUUAUGCACUUGCC